rnacentral:misc_RNA from 1 species
AAGUCGUAACAAGGUUUCCGUAGGUGAACCUGCGGAAGGAUCAUUAACACGUAUCCAACGUUAAACCCCCCGUGAACCUUCAUUGUGCUCCCCCAUUCCGUUAGGACGCGGCAAUCCCUGGUAAAUCAUCGCCGAACAGUUUUGAUUCAGGGACCUCUGCAUGGAGUGGGCAGCAGCGCGAGGCAAGUGGCCGACACGGCCGGCGACCGGGUCACUGGGCUCACGCCCCCCUAUCACCUUUGCAUGAAAACGGGCCUGCGCUUAAUUGUGCGGCCACCAAACUCGAACAACUGUUAACAAUGGAUAUCUUGGUUCUC